GCCCGCACAAGCGGUGGAGCAUGUGGUUUAAUUCGAUGCAACGCGAAGAACCUUACCUACUCUUGACAUCCAGAGAAGCCAGCGGAGACGCAGGUGUGCCUUCGGGAACUCUGAGACAGGUGCUGCAUGGCUGUCGUCAGCUCGUGUUGUGAAAUGUUGGGUUAAGUCCCGCAACGAGCGCAACCCUUAUCCUUGUUUGCCAGCGAGUAAUGUCGGGAACUCCAGGGAGACUGCCGGUGAUAAACCGGAGGAAGGUGGGGACGACGUCAAGUCAUCAUGGCCCUUACGAGUAGGGCUACACACGUGCUACAAUGGCGCAUACAGAGGGCGGCCAACUUGCGAAAGUGAGCGAAUCCCAAAAAGUGCGUCGUAGUCCGGAUUGGAGUCUGCAACUCGACUCCAUGAAGUCGGAAUCGCUAGUAAUCGUGGAUCAGAAUGCCACGGUGAAUACGUUCCCGGGCCUUGUACACACCGCCCGUCACACCAUGGGAGUGGGCUGCAAAAGAAGUGGGUAGUUUAACCUUCGGGAGGACGCUCACCACUUUGUGGUUCAUGACUGGGGUGAAGUCGUAACAAGGUAGCGCUAGGGGAACCUGGCGCUGGAUCACCUCCUUA
rnacentral:rRNA from 1 species